AUUGAACGCUGGCGGAAUGCUUUACACAUGCAAGUCGAACGGCAGCACGGACUUCGGUCUGGUGGCGAGUGGCGAACGGGUGAGUAAUGUAUCGGAACGUGCCCAGUCGUGGGGGAUAACGUAGUGAAAAUUACGCUAAUACCGCAUACGAUCUAUGGAUGAAAGCGGGGGAUCGCAAGACCUCGCGCGAUUGGAGCGGCCGAUAUCAGAUUAGGUAGUUGGUGUGGUAAAGGCCCACCAAGCCAACGAUCUGUAGCUGGUCUGAGAGGACGACCAGCCACACUGGAACUGGUACACGUUCCAGACUCGUACGGUAGGAAGCAGUGGGGAAUUUUGGACAAUGGGCGAAAGCCUGAUCCAGCCAUUCCGCGUGCAUGAUGAAGGCCCUCGGGUUGUAAACUGCUUUUGUACAGAACGAAAAGGUUUCUAAUAAUACUAGGAGCUCAUGACGGUACUGUAAGAAUAAGCACCGGCUAACUACGUGCCAGCAGCCGCCGUAA
rnacentral:rRNA from 1 species